rnacentral:tRNA from 1 species
GGGCUCGUGGUCUAGCGGUUAUGACGCUGCCCUUACAAGGCGGAUGUCCCAGGUUCGAAUCCUGGCGGGCCCA